rnacentral:misc_RNA from 1 species
AUUUGUACAUAAUAAAUUGUUGUUUUAUUUAAUGAAAAUACAAUGAACCACAACUAAAGUUCAAACAAAAAUUCACAUGGAAUUUUACUGGGCACAUUUUUCUGGUGUUGCAAAUCAAUUUGCUUAAACCAGAAAUUUGAAUUUACAAAUUUUACACUCAUCACAGUUGAACUUGAAAAAUAAAACAAAAGAUUCUAUUAACAAUGAUAUCACCGCCUUUUUCUGGAUUUUGGGGGAGGGUCUAAAGUUGGGAAGCGGGUAUAGAACCACGAUAAAAGGUCCGCCGCAGUCUACUCCUUUCUGUCAAUUUCAGCAGAUCAGCCAAAGCUAACCAACUAGUUUUUUGGUGCACAAGCAGCUUCUGCAAAUCAACUAUGUACUCAGGAGAUGGAUUAUCAUAACAAAGUAUCACACCAGAAUCCUCUGGAAGAAGAGCAAGUUCAUUAGCAGAACUUGUGUUGCUUGACCCUAGCCUUUCUUCAAGGAAUUCUCGUUUCUUAUCAUUGUCCAAUGGCCUCAAUUGAUUAUCUCGGCAGUAUCUAUAUUUGGGAAGACUGCUGAUGUCAUCUUCAGACGCCCCUCUCCUAAUUGCAACAGCAUAGGCUAUUGCUAUAAUUGGAAUGCAGCAAAAAACAGCAAAGAAAAUGAUGCAGGCCAUUCCAAUGCAAAAUAUUAUAAAGAACACAUCAAAGGCCAGAAAAACCACUGUUAACCAAUAUAGACGAGGCGAAUCUUGUAAAAGUGUUUGGCCACCUACAACAAUCCAAUAGAAUCCAGUCACCCACCAGAUAGAAGAUAUCAGUGUACUGAUAGACUCCAACCUUUUCAUAAUGCUGCUGUGAGUCUGCAAGUAUGGUAAACCCUCAUUGCUUACACUACCACCAUCACCAUUAUCAUGAUCAGUUCUCAUUCUCUUUUGAUACGGAAAAUACACGAAACCCACAUGCAAAAGACACUGCAAAGAGUAGCCAGACACCCAAACCCUCAAAGGGGUCGAUGGCCUCUCUCUGGAAGCAGAAAAUAGCACCGCCACUGAGACCGCUACAAAGGCCAGGUUCCAUAUGAGGUCAAGCACCAUUAUGGGCUUCGAAUAGUAGAAGUUGUUGCCAUUGCUGUUGCUGUCAAAGCUGGAGCUAGUUUCGUCGUCAAGACCGUCGGAUCGGGGAUCGGCGCAGUCCCCGAGGAAGAUCGUAUGGUGGGGGAGGGAAAGUGCGGUGCUUAUGGUUUGGUGGCGGAGUAGAGAAUAAGCAGCUCCACCAACACCAUGGGUAGCUUGCUGGUCCAUUUUCGUUCAAGCUAAGGGAUUCGUUGGUUAGAGAAGCAUUGGGGUUUUGAACAGAAAGGAAUGAAUUAACCGAUAUGGUAAUGGGUCAAAGGAAAUGAAAAUCCGAACCAUGAACCCAUAGUCUGGAAAAUGGAGCAGAA